rnacentral:rRNA from 1 species
AUACGAAGGGGGCUAGCGUUGCUCGGAAUCACUGGGCGUAAAGGGCGCGUAGGCGGACUCUUAAGUCGGGGGUGAAAGCCCAGGGCUCAACCCUGGAAUUGCCUUCGAUACUGAGAGUCUUGAGUUCGGAAGAGGUUGGUGGAACUGCGAGUGUAGAGGUGAAAUUCGUAGAUAUUCGCAAGAACACCAGUGGCGAAGGCGGCCAACUGGUCCGAUACUGACGCUGAGGUACGAAAGCGUGGGGAGCAAACGGGAUUAGAAACCCCUGUAGUCC